AUGUGGGCGAUCAUGCGGGACCCAUCCGCAUGGGAGAGGCCCGACGUGUUUGUCCCGGAGAGGUUCCUAGAUAAGGCUGCGACGGUGGAGUUUCAGGGCAUGGACUAUGAGUUCAUCUUGUUCGGGUCCGGCGGGCAGUUUUGCCCCGGCCUGCCGAUGGCAUAG
rnacentral:rRNA from 1 species